rnacentral:ncRNA from 1 species
CAAAGGCUCUUUUAAGAGCCACCCACACUGCUCAAAAAGCA